AGGCAUGCAAGUCGAACGGGAAAGCUCCCUUCGGAGAGUGAGUAUAGUGGCGAACGUGGUGAGUAACGCGUGGGAAACCUGCCCUCAAGUGGGGGAUAACAGUGCCUAACGGCCUGCUAAUACCGCAUGUGUCCCCGGAAUCGCAUGGUUCCGGGAAGAAAGGUGGCCUCUCCUUGGAAGCUAUCGCUUGAGGAUGGUCCCGCGUCCCAUUAGCUAGUUGGUGGGGUAAUGGCCUACCAAGGCUACGAUGGGUAGCCGGCCUGAGAGGGUGUCCGGCCACACUGGGACUGAGAUACGGCCCAGACUCCUACGGGAGGCAGCAGUCGAGAAGCUUCGGCAAUGGGCGAAAGCCUGACCGAGCGACGCCGCGUGAGCGAUGAAGGUCCUAUGGAUUGUAAAGCUCUGUCAGAUUGGGAAGAAAACUUCGCGAUUAAUACCCGCGAAGCUUGACGGUACCAUCAGAGGAAGCACCGGCUAACUCCGUGCCAGCAGCCGCGGUAAUACGGAGGGUGCGAGCGUUGUUCGGAUUCACUGGGUAUAAAGGGUGCGUAGGCGGCCUAGUAAGUCAGGGGUGAAAUAUGACGGCUCAACCGUCAAACUGCCCCUGAAACUGCAAGGCUUGAGUCCGGGAGAGGAAGGUGGAAUUCCUGGUGUAGCGGUGAAAUGCGUAAAUAUCAGGAGGAACACCGGUGGCGAAGGCGGCCUUCUGGUCCGGUACUGACGCUGAGGCACGAAAGCUAGGGGAGCGAACAGGAUUAGAUACCCUGGUAGUCCUAGCCGUAAACGAUGGGCACUAGGUGUCGGAGGAGUCUACCCCUUCGGUGCCGCAGCUAAUGCAUUAAGUGCCCCACCUGGGGAGUACGAUCGCAAGGUUGAAACUCAAAGGAAUUGACGGGGGCCCGCACAAGCGGUGGAGCAUGUGGUUUAAUUCGAUGCAACGCGAAGAACCUUACCUGGGCUUGACAUGCAGGGGACAGGUGCAGAAAUGUACCCUUCUUCGGACCCCUGUGCAGGUGCUGCAUGGCUGUCGUCAGCUCGUGUCGUGAAAUGUUGGGUUAAGUCCCGCAACGAGCGCAACCCCUGUCUUCAGUUGCCAUCAGUUCGGCUGGGGACUCUGGAGAGACUGCCGGUGACAAACCGGAGGAAGGUGGGGACGACGUCAAGUCAUCAUGGCCCUUACGCCCAGGGCUACAC
rnacentral:rRNA from 1 species